rnacentral:rRNA from 1 species
GACGAACGCUGGCGGCGUGCCUAAUACAUGCAAGUAGAACGCACAGUUUAUACCGUAGCUUGCUCCACCAUAGACUGUGAGUUGCGAACGGGUGAGUAACGCGUAGGUAACCUGCCUGGUAGCGGGGGAUAACUAUUGGAAACGAUAGCUAAUACCGCAUAAUAUUAAUUAUUGCAUGAUAAUUAAUUGAAAGGUGCAAUUGCACCACUACCAGAUGGACCUGCGUUGUAUUAGCUAGUAGGUGAGGUAACGGCUCACCUAGGCGACGAUACAUAGCCGACCUGAGAGGGUGAUCGGCCACACUGGGACUGAGACACGGCCCAGACUCCUACGGGAGGCAGCAGUAGGGAAUCUUCGGCAAUGGACGAAAGGCUGACCGAGCAACGCCGCGUGAGGGAAGAAGGUUGUCGGAUCGGAAAGAUCUGUUGUAAGAGAAGAACGGGUGUGAGAGUGGAAAGUUCACAAUGUGACGGUAUCUUACCAGAAAGGGACGGCUAACUACGUG